rnacentral:rRNA from 1 species
UCUGAGGGCCACAGGCCGCAGGAAACACCCGUUCCCAUCCCGAACACGGUAGUUAAGCUGCGGAGCGUUGGGGAGUGUACUGGCUUUCAGUCGGGAAAUCUCCGAGUUCUCAGGG